UGAGUACGAGAUGCUACGGCAUCGAAGCAGUCUAUGUCAUACUUCCAAGAAAAGCUUGCACUGUCAUAAACAAAGAAUGCCUGUACCAUAACCGACACAGGUGGGUAGGUAGAGUAUACUAAGGGGCGCGAGAUAACUCUCUCUAAGGAACUCGGCAAAAUGACUCCGUAACUUCGGGAGAAGGAGUGCCUUAUUUCUAAGGUUGCAAUAACAAGAUCCAAGCAACUGUUUACCAAAAACACAGGUCUCCGCUAAGUCGUAAGACGAUGUAUGGGGGCUGACGCCUGCCCAGUGCCAGAAGGUUAAAGAAGUUGGUUAGCAUUAGCGAAGCUGAUAACUGAAGCCCUGGUGAACGGCGGCCGUAACAAUAACGGUCCUAAGGUAGCGAAAUUCCUUGUCGGGUAAGUUCCGACCCGCACGAAAGGCGUAAUGAUUUGGAUACUGUCUCGGAGAGGGGCUCGGUGAAAUAGACUUGUCUGUGAAGAUGCGGACUACCUGCACCUGGACAGAAAGACCCUAUGAAGCUUUACUGUAACUUGAGAUUGAAAUUGGACUUUAUUUGCGCAGCAUAGGUGGGAGGCGUUGAGAAUAAUCUUGCGGGAUUGUUGGAGCCAUCAGUGAGAUACCACUCUUGUAAUGUUAGAUUUCUAACUUUGUAUCAUUAUCUGGUCAAAGAACAGUUUCAGGCGGGCAGUUUGACUGGGGCGGUCGCCUCCCAAAGGGUAACGGAGGCGCACAAAGGUUUCCUCUGAACGGGUAGAAAUCGUAUCUAGAGUGUAAAGGCAUAAGGAAGCUUGACUGUGAGACCUACAAGUCGAGCAGGGACGAAAGUCGGUCUUAGUGAUCUGACGGUGCUGAGUGGAAAGGCCGUCACUCAACGGAUAAAAGUUACUCUAAGGAUAACAGGCUGAUCUCCCCCAAGAGUUCAUAUCGACGGGGAGGUUUGGCACCUCGAUGUCGGCUCAUCGCAUCCUGGGGCGGUAGUCCGUCCCAAGGGUUGGGCUGUUCGCCCAUGAAAGCGGUACGCGAGCUGGGUUCAGAACGUCGUGAGACAGUUCGGUCCAUAUCCGGUGUAGGCGUUAGAAUAUUGAGAGGAGCCUUCUCUAGUACGAGAGGACCGAGAAGGACAUACCUCUGGUGUACCAGUUAUCGUGCCAACGGUAAACGCUGGGUAGCUAUGUAUGGAGUGGAUAACCGCUGAAAGCAUCUAAGUGGGAAGCCCACCUCAAGAUAAG
rnacentral:rRNA from 1 species